UGAUAAGACAGGUUCCAGGUCAUACCAACUAAGGGACCAGAUGUGAUGUGCCCCUUCACAGAUUGGCCUGGGUUUGGAGGCUUCUGGAGAACUGUAAAGGGCAUCUAACCCAAUGCCCUCAUUUUACAGACGGGAAAAUGGGUCAUGGAGGAGUGACUUCACCAACAUCACUCAUAGGUGCUUGUGUCCAUGGUGAGAAGGGUGAUGGAGAGAAGUGGCUGCAGUUCCCACCCAUGGAGAGGUCACUGGUGAAUCCCAGCUAAAGAGGAAGGACAGGCCCGGCCUGAGUCCCACAGGUGGGCUCAGCCCCUCUCCUUACCGAAUGUAGCCAACUUGAGGCCGGUGCAGAAGCUGCCAGCGAUAGGAGGUCUUGUCCCGCCAGCCCACAUUUCGUGGGUCUGUCCACAGCAGUCGUACCUGAUCAGGGGUGUGGCCAGUAUGCCACAGGGCAUUUCGGAGGUGCUCACCUGGGCCAGACACUGAUGUCACUGCCUAGGAGACAUUGGCAAAGACAGUGAGUCAACUGCAGAACUGGAGUGAGGGGAGACAACAGGUCGGUAAGUGCAGGUGGGAAAGGGAUUCAAGGCGGUCAUGAAAAUGCCCUGGGGCCCCAGAGAGCCGGCCUCCAAGCCAGAUGUCUGGGUAAGAGGGUUCCCAGUCAAGCAGUGGGGGAGGCCCUGGGGCUGCAGAGGAGAGCUUUGGGAAAGGGCCCUGGGUUGCGGAAUCUGAGCAGCUGGGGACCUUGAGCUGCAGCCCGGGCUGGGCAACCGCCCGGAAGGGUGUAGCCUGCCAGUAGGUCUGCUCGGUCUGCUUCCACAUGACUACGUAGAAGCGGCCACUGUCUUGAUAACUGAAGAGAAAGCCUGCGUAGUCAUCAUCAGUCACUGUGUUCACAUGGAAGGUGCCUUCAAAGUCCACACCAUUGAAGGCCGUGUAUCCUGGGGUGGGGGUGGGAUAAAGGUCAGGGGCAGCAAAGCUACUGGCGGCCCAUCAUGGGGUAAAGUUGGGAAGGGAUGCCUGCUAUGUAUGUGGCCAGCUUGUGCCACCGCCUUCUCUCUCGCCACUUUGCCCAUUCUCCCUGUCUGUUUCCUCCCCUACCCUCUGCCCCUAUAGGAUUCCUCCAUUUGGAAGUGAUUGAACUGCAUAUCCCUUACAUACCAACUGCCAAGCCAGGGUCACUGUUCAUGGUCUGAACGAUUUCCAUGCCCUGGGGUUGUAUAGUAAAGAAAAAGCUGUGAUGCAGGUGUGCUAUCCCUCCCAGGCCCCCCGCCCCAGUAGCCCUGUCUGAUAGCACCUGCCCAGCCCACUGCCCCGAGUUACCUGGUUGAGCACAACCCAGUUUGGGUCAAUCUGAGCAUCACCCUCAGGAUCCAGGACGACGGUCUGAUAGGCCCGAAAAUCCGUAAGCGUUACCUCUGCACUUUCAGGACACACAUCCAGGGGGUCGACCACCGCAUCAUUGUCAAAGUCAUCCUCACACACAUCACCAACGCCAUUGCCUGGGCAGAGUGAGGCUGGGUGCUCAGGAAGGCCCUGGCCACUGCCAUUAGGCAACAAUACCAUCUGUUGGGCCUGCAUUCCUGACAUCUUUCCCCACCUUGCCCUUCCUCACUUCCCAACAGGGCUUGCUGCCUCCACCUGGGCAAAGGCAACACCAGUCUAACGUGCUCUGGGUCCACAGGCUUACCAUCUGAGUCCUUCUGAUUGGGAUUGGGUACCAGGCGGCAGUUAUCAGGACCAGGAGGCACAUAAUCUGGGAUGCCAUCAUUGUCAUCAUCCCCAUCACACUCAUCUCCAAGUCCAUCGUUAUCAGAGUCCAGCUGGGAGCUAUUUGGCAGCUGUGGGCAGUUGUCCUUGGUGUCCUGAUGCCCAUCCCCAUCGCUAAUCAGAAGAACAGGUUGGUGAAAGUCCUGAACUUUGUCUCCCCACCCAGAGGACAACUGGCCAGGAAAUCUGCCUGUUUCUUGUCUCACCCUCUAGUCCACACUCUGCCUAACGCUACGCCCUACCUCACAUUCCUAUUGACAUCUGCUGCAGGUAAUCUCUCCUCACCCAGGCCAACGUCCACAAGCCUGCCUCCCUACUUCACAGAGACUUCCUAGCUUCCCUGCUUCAUCCCCACCUGAUCCAAAUUCUCACAGGUCCCCCAGCCACCCCUUCAGCCCCAGGCCUGCACCAUCCCCAUCCACGUCGUUGUCACAGGCAUCUCCUUCCCCAUUGCCAUCUGUGUCCUUCUGGUCAUUGUUGGGAACGUUGGGGCAAUUGUCACAGGCAUCACCAAAUGAAUCUGUAUCUGAGUUCUGCUGGUCUUUGUUGGGGAACAGCCGGCAGUUGUCCUGGGCAGAGGGGUGGGAGGGGAAGGGUCAGGUCUCCCCUAAAUCACUUGUCAUCUUGCACCUACCUUGUCUCUGUAUCCUUUUCUAAGAUCACACCCUUGUGAUGGACAAACUGCUCAGUACAGUCCCACCCACCCAGCCUCCUUGUCCUGGGCACGAGGUUUUUGCCUCCCUGAUUUGGAGUAUUGGGCCCUUACUAGAGAGCUGCCAGAUGAGGUAAGUGAGGCAUGGAGAGGACAGGAGGAGGGGAGAGGAGCUUCAAGGGGCAGGGCAGUCUGGGAGUCACCUCAACAUUCUUGAUCCCAUCCCCAUCAGCAUCAUCAUCACACUGGUCCCCCACACCAUCAUUAUCAGCAUCUUCCUGCCCAGAGUUGGGUGUCAAAAGGCAGUUGUCCUAAAGUUCAGGGGAAGAGGAUGGAUGAGUUCUGGCCUGACCCAGCUUGGGCUCCCCACUACGCCCCCUUGCCCGCCUGCUCCCUGCACCUGUUUGCAGUGUUUGUUGUUGUCCAUGCAGGGCAGUGCUUGGUCUGGGUAGCCAUCGAUGUCUGUGUCAGUCCCACACACGUUCCCAUUCCCAGCCCAGCCCACGUUACACUAGGGCAACACAAAGGGUAGGAGCUAGCAGUUUGGUCUGGCUCCCCUCCUCCCUCUAUUUUCCCUGCUUCAGGUCCUAUUCUCC
rnacentral:lncRNA from 1 species